CACGAGAGCCUCAAGCGUUAUCCGGAAUUAUUGGGCGUAAAGGGUGUGUAGGCGGUCCUGUUAGUCCCGCGUCAAAGCCCUCGGCUUAACCGAGGAGUCGCGCGGGGAACGGCAGGACUCGAGGUCGGGAGAGGUGUAUGGAACUCACGGUGUAGGGGUGAAAUCCGUUGAUAUCGUGGGGAACGCCAAAAGCGAAGGCAGUACACUGGCCCGCACCUGACGCUGAAACACGAAAGCGUGGGUAGCGAAUGGG
rnacentral:rRNA from 1 species